rnacentral:lncRNA from 1 species
UGGUCGUGAGAUAGCAGAAGCUUUUUUCUUCAGGGCAUUCGGCAAAACUUAAGGUUGACGACGAUUUUUUUGACGGUAGCAAGAUGGCGACGUUUGUGCUAAUAGUAGGAUAGUAUAUUGUAGUAUUCUGCAUUAAUUCCGGCUGACAAUGGGCUGUGUUUUUUGGGCUGACACAGAUUCCUUCGGCUGCAUUUCUUCCGGUAUAUCUUCUCCCAUAUAUCUUCUCCGGCAUUAAAAUUCGGCC